AAUUAUUGAUUAGUUAUGUUUUUUAUAAUACUAAUAUACUAAUAAAUACUUACUGUUUUUCCAAUAGAUUUGUUUUUAAUUUCUUUCGAUUGUUUUCGAAAAUAUGAAAAUAUGGGUUUAGUUUUCCUUUACUUUUCCUCCAUGUUAUGCUUGAAUUGGAUAUAAUAAUAUAAAAUUACGUGUACUUACGCUAAUUCAUCAAAAAUCGUAUAAAUUAUAAUACAAAACAAUAACGAAAAUACCGGAUGAUAACAGCACGACAAUUGCCAUACAAAUAUACACUACACUUGUAGACGCAAAUCCCGAAAAAGGCUGACACUCGACUGAUUGAUUAAACUACUCACGAUGCGUCACAUAUAGUCUAAAAAAUUCGAUAGUAUUCCAGAUUAGAUACCGGGCAUCGAUAUCGAACUGUUGUUGUUUUAACAGCAAUAAUUACACUUACAUAUUAAAUGUAUAGACGUAAAGACAUACCUAUUAAGUAUUUAUUACUUACACAACAUAUAACACGUCCUAAGGGAUUCUAACAAAAUCGCAAUCCAAACAAAAUGUGUUUGUACUAUUUUAAUAUAAUAUAUAAUAUAUUAGCAAUUGCACGGAUAUCUUUUCGGCAUAUUAUAAAGUUAAUUUUGCGAAUGUCAGGUGUAAAUAACUCCAAAUUUUUAGUAAUAGAGGAGUGUAAACAAGAAGAAAAAUCUAGUAUAAUUAUUGUCGGACUUCAGGUGUUUAAUAAAAACUGAAUUCAUACCCAUAUAUUUCGGUUUUCGAAUUUUAAUGAUAUCGCCGUUAUAUACAAAUAUAAAUUAUAAUAUUUGUAUGCAAAAACAAAAAUUAAUUUCCUUAACAAUACAGUAUUUUGUUACCAAUAUAAUCAUUUGAACACUGUG